AACCAUAGAAACCUGCGGAGUACCUGCGGAGGGAUCAUCAUCGAAUUCAUAUCCCCUUCCUCUCCCGGGGGGGGGGACCCAUGAUAAACCCUUCUGUGCACCGUAAACUGUUCACUUUGGCAAGCUUUGGUGAUGAGCGUUAGCUCGCCACCAACCUCGCGUUCCCUCCUCCCUAAGGUGGUGUUACGCGUGGCGGCCUGCCAGAGUCCUCCCAUUAAAAAACGUUUUUGAACACGUCUG
rnacentral:misc_RNA from 1 species